GACGGAGGAGGCAAGCGUUAUCCGGAAUUAUUGGGCGUAAAGGGUACGUAGGCGGCUGGUCAAGUCUGGGGUCAAAGGCCACAGCUCAACUGUGGGAAGGCCCUGGAAACUGACCGGCUAGAGUGAGGUAGGGGUUGCGGGAAUUCCCGGUGUAGCGGUGAAAUGCGUAGAGAUCGGGGAGAACACCUGAGGCGGAAGCGCGCAACUGGGCCUCAACUGACGCUGAGGUACGAAAGUUAGGGGCGCGAAUGGG
rnacentral:rRNA from 1 species